CCUACGGGGGGCUGCAGUGAGGAAUAUUGGUCAAUGGGCGUAAGCCUGAACCAGCCAUCCCGCGUGCAGGAAGAAGGCGCUAUGCGUCGUAAACUGCUUUUCCAGAGGAAGAAAACCCCCGACGUGUCGGGGCUUGCCGGUACUCUGGGAAUAAGCAUCGGCUAACUCCGUGCCAGCAGCCGCGGUAAUACGGAGGAUGCGGGAGUUAUCCGGAUUUAUUGGGUUGAAGGGGUGCUAAGAAGUCUGAAUAGAAAACCUUCAGCUUAACUGGAGACUUGCCAUUGAUACUGUUAGUCUUGAGUACGGUCAAGGUAGGCGGAAUGUGUAAUGUAGCGGUGAAAUGCUUAGAUAUUACACAGAACACCGAUUGCGAAGGCAGCUUACUGGGCCAUUACUGACGCUGAUGCACGAAAGCGUGGGGAGCGAACAGGAUUAGAUACCCCUGUAGUC
rnacentral:rRNA from 1 species